UUAACACAUGCAAGUCGAACGGGCUCUUCGGAGCUAGUGGCGGACGGGUGAGUAACGCGUGAGAAUCUGCCUUCAGGAGGGGGAUAACGACUGGAAACGGGCGCUAAUACCCCAUAUGCCUCCGGGUGAAAAGUAAUUCGCCUGAAGAUGAGCUCGCGUCAGAUUAGCUAGUUGGUGGGGUAAGAGCCUACCAAGGCGACGAUCUGUAGCUGGUCUGAGAAGAUGAUCAGCCACACUGGGACUGAGACACGGCCCAGACUCCUACGGGAGGCAGCAGUGGGGAAUUUUCCGCAAUGGGCGCAAGCCUGACGGAGCAAGACCGCGUGGGGGAUGACGGCCUAAUGGUUGUAAACCCCUUUGCUCUGGGAAGAAGACUGACGGUACCAGAGGAAUCAGCCUCGGCUAACUCCGUGCCAGCAGCCGCGGUAAUACGGAGGAGGCAAGCGUUAUCCGGAAUUAUUGGGCGUAAAGCGUCCGUAGGUGGUUAUUCAAGUCUGCUGUCAAAGCGUGGGGCUUAACUCCAUAGAGGCAGUGGAAACUGAGUGACUAGAGUGCGGUAGGGGUCGAGGGAAUUCCCAGUGUAGCGGUGAAAUGCGUAGAUAUUGGGAAGAACACCAGUGGCGAUAGCGCUCGAAUGGGACUGCACUGACACUGAGGGACGAAAGCUAGGGGAGCGAAAGGGA
rnacentral:rRNA from 1 species